AAAAAAUACUUGAAAAUAUGCCUUCUACAUGUGGUGAAAUUAAUGAAUUUUUCAAUCAUGGAUUGCAUUCAAAUGUUAUUGACGGAUUAUCAACAACAGACAGCGUUGGGACACAAAGUGACAUUUCCGGUCAUACUGCGAUAUCAGGAAAACCAAAAAUUCAUGUUGUUUGUGUUAUGGAUGUUCAACAAACAGAACAUCUUAAUCAAAGAAAAAUAGCUUUAGAAGAAAUAAAGCAAGCAUGUACUCUUCUCAGUAGUAAUUGGAAUCAUGUACAGUUUGAAAAACUUGAUUUUGGUGAAACAAAUGUUCUUGAUAUUUUUUACAAUGCUGAUGUUGCUGUAGUUGAUUUGAGUAUUCAAGUGCAGCAGUCAGCUUUAUUUUAUCAUUUAGGAGUAAGAGAAAGUUUUGGAAUGAAAGAAAAUAUUCUACUUUACAAUGAUAUGGACAAUGAAACAACAAUUAGAUUGAAAGUAUCUUGUGAUAGUUAUACAUUUAUUUCUUAUCGUGUUCUUGAUUGUGGUACUUGUGUCGUAACAAAAAAUUUAUCAGCAAAUCGUUCAGAAGAAAUAAUAGAUCCUAAACAACGUUUAACUGUAAAACUUAAAAAACUCUUUCAAGACGUUGAAGUACAAUCGAAAGCUCACAUGAAAGAAAAAUUUCUUACCGAUUUGAGAAGAGCUAGAGAAACAUACUCGGGAGAAGAUUUAGCUAAAAUAUUAAACAACAUGAGGAAACGUUUAGAUGAUCCUAAUGUUUUAUCAGGAGAAGUAAUACUUAAUGUUUUAAUAUCCUUUCGUGAAAUUCAAGAUUAUGAUGCAAUGGUUCAAUUAGUGGAUGAUUUACGAACUAUUCCCAAUCAUAGAAACUAUAUUAAAACUCCAGCAAUUUGUUAUCUCUAUGGAUUUGCAUUAAGUAGAAGAAAUAAAGAAGGUGAUCGUGAAAAAGCAGUUCGAAUAAUAGAAAAGGCUUUAGAGAAAAAAGAAAAUCAUGUACCUGAUAUGUUAUGUCUUUGUGGACGGAUUUAUAAAGAUCAAUUUGUUGAAAGUCGACAUACGGAUCAAGAUUCUUUAAAAAAUGCUAUUCAUUGGUAUAGGAAAGGUUUUGAAGUUCAACCCAAUGAAUACGCUGGAGUAAACUUAGCAACUUUGUUAGUUAUCGCCGGAAAUGAAUUUUCAAAAAGUGAAGAACUUCAGCACAUCGGUAUGAUUCUAAAUAAUUUAAUUGGAAAGAAAGGUAGCUUAUCAAGUUUGAAAGAGUAUUGGGAUGUUGCUACAUUUUUUGAAAUAAGUGUAUUAGCAGAAGAUUAUUCAAAGGCUAUUCAAGCAGCUGAGUGUAUGUUUAAACUAAAACCACCCAACUGGUAUCUUAAAUCAACAAUUGGUAAUAUUUCAUUAAUAGAUAGAUUCAGAAAAAAAAAUGAAGAAAGUGAAAUAACACCAGAAGAACAAAUUUUUAGUUUUUGGAUGGACUAUUUUGUUGAAGCAACGAAAGGCGAAGUUGAAAAUAACAUACGUUUCCCUAUACUUAUACUAGAACCUACAAAAAUUUUAAUGCCAAGUUACGUAAAUGUUAAUCUCGGUGCAGAAGAAAAAUCAAUUCAAAUUUGGAAUUUAUGUCUUGAUAGUAUUAAAAAUAGUUGUAAACAAGUUCACGAUUGGUUAUUUACAGCCAAUAUGAUUCGAAGUGUGAGUUUAUAUAAACGUGAUGAAAGAUGCCUUUUUUUGUAUGUCCACGAAAAUUCUGACGACUUCCAAAUGUUUUUCCCAUCAAAUCAAUGUCGACAAAGAUUUUAUGAUCUUGUUUUAGAAAUGACUGCUGAUCAAGAAGGAAUGGUCACUAACUUAGAUGCUUACAUGAUGGAUGAUAAAAUAAAAUAUGAAUAUGAAUUAGAUGAUCAAAAUAGAAGAAUAAUUUUAGGAAAAGGAACUUAUGGCAUUGUUUACGCAGCAAGAGAUUUGAAUACUCAAGUGAGGAUAGCAGUCAAAGAAAUACGUGAAAGAAAUCUUGGAGACGUACAACCGUUACAUGAAGAAAUAAAACUUCAUAGUCAAUUAAGACAUCGAAAUAUUGUUCAAUAUUUAGGAUCGAUUAGUGAAGAUGGGUUUUUCAAAAUAUUUAUGGAACAAGUUCCAGGAGGUAGUUUAUCAGCUCUUUUACGAUCCAAAUGGGGUCCAUUGAAGGAAAAUGAGUCAACGAUAUCUUAUUAUACGAAACAAAUUCUUGAAGGUUUAAAAUAUCUCCAUGAUCAAAAAAUAGUUCACCGUGAUAUAAAAGGUGACAAUGUAUUAGUGAAUACAUAUAGUGGUGUUGUCAAGAUAUCUGAUUUUGGGAUGUCUAAGCGAUUAGCUGGUCUUUGUCCAAGUACUGAAACGUUUGCCGGAACAUUACAAUAUAUGGCACCAGAAGUUAUUGAUAAAGGUCAACGUGGCUACGGUGCUCCGGCAGAUAUUUGGUCAUUGGGUUGCACUAUUGUAGAAAUGGCAACGGGUAAACCCCCAUUUAUUGAAUUAGGCUCUCCACAAGCUGCUGUUUUUAAGGUGGGAUAUUAUAAAAUUCAUCCAGAGAUACCAUCAGAAUUGUCAGAAAGAGCAAAAAAUUUCAUUUUGCGGUGUUUUGAACCUAACCCUGAUGUACGAUCUUCUGCUAUGGAACUUUUGGAUGAUUCUUUCCUAACUGAAAAGAAGAAAAGUCCAAGACUUGGAGCACCUCCAGACUUCAAUAGAAGUAUUUCAGUACCAAGUGAUCGUGGUGAACGAACUGGAAAAAAUGAUAAAGUAAUAAAUAAUUCAAAUACAUUGACAACUGGAUUUUCAAAUUCUCAAUCAGAUAAUAGUAGAAUGCUGACUAAAUCAAGUUCUUUGAAAGAUCGCAGUUUAGCUCAUCCUUUAUCUCCUAUCAAUAUUUCUACCGCCUGCUUAUCUGUAAACAGCAAUGUAACAAGUAGUACACCAUCGAUAGACAUUAGUGAUACGGAUUCAUCAAAUUGCUCAAUAGCACGACGAAGUUCUUCAGGUGGUCUUUUAUCUCCAGAAAUUGAACUGAAUGGACAGACUGGACAAAAGUCUGGAGAAGAACAAGAAGGUUUUUAUUUACUGAAAAAAGAUAGCCAGCGUAGAAUGACUUUAACGAAAGUAUUAAGUCACGAUGAAGCCACCAUUUGUGAGGUUUGGAUGCGAAACAUUCAUCAUGACGGAGGACAAACCAUUCUCGGAAUGACUCAUUUAGAGUUACUAAUGCGUGGAUUACGUGAUUAUAUAUCUGAUCGUAAUCAAGAAAAAAUAAUAGACGCAUUUAGAACUUUGAAACAAGAAUUGGGUUUUGAUUCCGUUACAAUUAACCAUCUUCAUUUAGCUAUUUAUCUUUUCCAAACAGCAGUUAAUGAAGUCCUUAGAAUGCAUAAUAUUAAACCACAUUGGAUGUUUGCGUUGGACAAUCUUGUUAGGAAUGCCGUGCAGACUGCAAUAACGGUUUUGUCUCCUGAACUCGGUGCCGGAUUAAUUGAUCAAGAACAAACUCAGGUUGGUGCAGAUGGUCCAGAAGAAGGAUCAACAUCUGGAGUAUCAACCGUAAAUUCUUUAAAAUCUCAAAAAACUGUCGAUUCAAUAGAGCAAAAAUAUUGGCGAGAAUAUCAUGACCAAAUGGAAAAUAUGAAAAUAAAUAAUAUGCAACUUCUUCAAGAAUUGAUUGACAGUCAAAAAAUGUUUCAUACAAUUUUGAAAAAUGCUUUAGAUGAACAGUGCAUACAAAUUGAAAAUUUAACCAGCCUUUGUAGAAAUAUUAAUAACAGUAUUAUUGAACAGAGAGCAAGGUUAAUUUUACACUCAACACAUCAAUCUCAUUUCAUUCCGGAGCGAAGUAGAAUAUGUUCAAUGUAAAAGAAUCCAAUUCUUCCGAAAAAUAUUUCCCUUCAAUGCUCUAUUCUUAAGUAUAAUGGAGCAACUGAGAUAAAAAAUUUUUGACAUGAGCAGCUCAAAUGAGAAAUGAAAUAUGGUCCAAAUUUAUUUCAAGAAAGUUCAAAUUCUUCAUCGGAACUAAUGAUUGUACCCCUCAUAAAUAUUUCAGAAAGUGAAAAUAUAUUAAACAUGAAUGGUGAAUUAGCGUC
rnacentral:misc_RNA from 1 species